CCUACGGGUGGCAGCAGUGAGGAAUAUUGGUCAAUGGACGAGAGUCUGAACCAGCCAAGUAGCGUGAAGGAUGACUGCCCUAUGGGUUGUAACCUUCUUUUAUAUGGGAGUAAAAUGUUCCACGUGUGGGAUUUUGUAUGUACCAUAUGAAUAAGGAUCGGCUAACUCCGUGCUAGCAGCCGCGGUAAUACGGAGGAUCCGAGCGUUAUCCGGAUUUAGUGGGUUUAAAGGGAGCGUAGGUGGAUUGUUAAGUCAGUUGUGAACGUUUGCGGCUCAACCGUAAAAUUGCAGUUGAAACUGGCAGUCUUGAGUACAGGAGAGGUGGGCGGAAUUCGUGGUGUAGCGGUGAAAUGCUUAGAUAUCACGAAGAACUCCGAUUGCGAAGGCAGCUCACUGGACUGCAACUGACACUGAGGCUCGAAAGUGUGGGUAUCAAACAGGAUUAGAUACCCGGGUAGUC
rnacentral:rRNA from 1 species